CAUGGGGGAGCAGCAUGGCAAGUCUUUCGGAGGCUAUUUUUAAGGUUGAAUGAUUUUUGUGCACGCCCUUGGAACAAAAAAGUUGCGACUUAUUGCAACACUCCAUGCAAGCCGGUAGUUUCUAUUGCUGGAAUUUUUCUGCUUGUUCUCACUGUUAUUCAGACAGUAUUUUCUAUUCUCCAAGGAGUACAGUAGUACUAGAUUAAUGUUUGAUAUCCUUGUAAUUGAAGACCACUGCAUAAGGCAACUGCCUUCUCUGUAAUUGUGUAUCAAGUUUGAAUGUGAUAUUUUUUUAUUGUUG